rnacentral:rRNA from 1 species
AUUGAACGCUGGCGGCAGGCCUAACACAUGCAAGUCGAGCGAGCGUCGCACGGGUGUGUAUUGUAUGGGGAUCUGCGCCUUAGAGGGGGAUAACUACUCUAAACGGUAUCUCAACCCACAUUCUACCGCAUAUACCCAUAUGGGAUUAUCUCGUGGGUGAGGUAAUGGCUCACCUAGGCGACGAUCCCUAGCUGGUCUGAGAGGAUGAUCAGCCACACUGGGACUGAGACACGGCCCAGACUCCUACGGGAGGCAGCAGUGGGGAAUAUUGCACAAUGGGCGCAAGCCUGAUGCAGCCAUGCCGCGUGUAUGAAGAAGGCCCUAGGGUUGUAAAGUACUUUCAGUGGGGAGGCGUUACCGACAGAAGAAGCACCGGCUAACUCCGUGCCAGCAGCCGCGGUAAUAC